rnacentral:tRNA from 1 species
UCAGGAUAGCUCAGCCU